rnacentral:sRNA from 1 species
UUCCAAAAGUCUCUUCUUU